rnacentral:rRNA from 1 species
GCGUUGUUCGGAUUUACUGGGCGUAAAGGGCGCGUAGGCGGCGUCCGCAAGUCAGUUGUGAAAUCUCCGAGCUUAACUCGGAAAGGUCAACUGAUACUGCGGGGCUAGAGUGCGGAAGGGGCAACUGGAAUUCUUGGUGUAGCGGUGAAAUGCGUAGAUAUCAAGAGGAACACCUGCGGCGAAGGCGGGUUGCUGGGCCGAUACUGACGCUGAGGCGCGAAAGCUA